CCUUUCCUUCCUGUCCUCGUUCUCCUCCCCCCCCCCCCCCCCCCCUCGUUGGGUGCGGGCACAGGAAACUAGUGGACUGUCCCCAGCUGUUGGAUGUGGACGACAUGGUGAAGAUGCGCGAGCCGGAUUGGAAGUGUGUGUAUACGUACCUGCAGGAGUUCUACAGAGGUCUGGUGACGAAGGGCCUGGUUAAAACCAAAAACUCAUCCUAGAGUCGCACCCCGCCUAAAACUGAACCCAUGGAGCUACGCCAACUGCAUGCCUUUGCUGGAAGUGGAGGACAUGAUGAUCAUGGGUAAUAAACCCGACUCCAAAUGCGUCUUCACCUACGUACAGUCUCUGGUCAACCACCUACGCAGAUACGAGAUGUCCAUGGGUCGGCCCUGUGACCUCUGACCUGUGCUCAGUGAGGGUUCAGCCGUGACGUGGCAUCACCCCUAAUCCUCCCCUCCCCCCCCCCCUCUCCUUCCCUCACCCCUCCCCAGCUCCAUCUUCACCUGAUGACUCACCUCUGUAUCGACAGCCUGCAUCACAGAGUUGCUCAUCUUUGAUGGACAAGUUGGGGAGGGGGAGUGUCUGUGUGUGUUUGUGUGUGUGUGUGUGUGUCUGUGUGUGUGACACAGAAAUAGUUUGUCGAUUUUGCUUGUUUUUAUUCUCUGCAGCAGUGAUGUGUAUUCAUUUUUUCACGUUAAGUACACCUUUCUCCAGCAAGAGACCGCCAACGUUUUAUAACACUACCUUUUAAGCUUUAAAAUUGUACUUUUUUGUACUCCGCUUUUUACUCUGUAAUAUUUAACAGGCAGUAACUGUGUCACUACGCCAGUGUACCGAAGAACACAUCAAGAGAGAAAAGAGAAAUAUUUUUAUAGUGUUUCUUCUUUAAGUUAUUUAUACCUUCAUUUUUCUCUACUACACUUUUUUGCUAGCAUUUCUGUUGGUGAUUACACAGAAGAAGAAAAAUACACCUAACCAUAUAUUGCAUUCAUUUCGGUACUUGUUUAACUUUUACUAAAUUCUUGAAGUAUUUCAAUUAAGUUAUUAGAACAGGUAUGUUCUUUCUUCAUUGGUAUAAGUAAUCUCACUUUUCUGAACUCUACAUUGCUACUGAGAACAUGUUUCAGAUUAUUUGAACAUUGUACCUCUCUUGUAUCACUGUUUCAUCAUAAUAUAACAGCAGAAAUGUUUUGCAGUCAAACAAGUUUUUUAUUCAGGUAGAAAGAAAAAAGUAGUGGGUGGUAGUCAACAGCUGCAUUGUAUCAUUACUUGGUGUUUCUUACUGCUUGACUGACAGCAUAUGUACAAACAAGUGUGUCCAGCAGUGCUGCCAUCCCCAGCAUCACUGACUUGCCCUGCCAAACACACUCGCACACAGCUCUUUUAGAGGGCUUCUUAUUUAUGCUUGAGUAGAUCUUUUUGAAAUAUAUUAUGUGUUGUUUUGUUAGUGUGCACAUUAAGCUUUCAAAAGCUUAAAGUGAGUCAAUAAGCUCAAGCUAUCACGAUGUUUUGUGAAACUAAUUCACACUUUUUGAACGAGUUCACGGGCCCGAUGAAAGCCGGCUUUCUGUUUAAACGUGAGGAAUCAUGACUGAACAUAACUGCCAAUUGUACAUUUUACAACAUGAAGCUAAUGAAAACAUUUUUAAAUGAAGAUUUGUUUUCCACUUGUAAAAUUAAGAUUUAUUUGAGAAGAUGUUGAAAAUCUGAUUGUUUCAGAGCUGAUUUUGAUGAAACUUAUUUCUCAAAGCUCUGUUUUAGUAGAUUUAGAGAAAUUAUUUGACAAUUAUCACUGCUGCCCACUGACAUACCUGCCACGGAGCAGUGAGUUCUGUACAUAAGAGCUUAAAACACAUAAUUUCAUGUUAUUGUGCACAACAGUUAAAUGUGAAUUAAAAUUAAACCAAUUUGAGAAAUGA